CCGUGUUUUUGAGCAAAUAGAUGUUGUUUGAACACAUAAACAAUUUGUUUAAUUCCUGAAUGAAUCAGCCUUUUGAACUAAUGGAUUGAAUUAAUGGCUCAGUCAUUACAAUAGUGAGUACCACAACCAUUUAAACUAAUUCUUAUCUGGCGGCUGUGAGCUCCACAUCUCUGUGCUGCAGGUCAGGGCUCAUUACAGCGUGGUGUCCAGUUUGCCCUGUCCGGCCCUGGAUGAGCUGUGUAACGGAGGAGACUGUGUGGAUCAGCUCAGCUCCUCUCCUCUGACAGGGGCUUUACCUUCACCAGGCUGGUGUCUUCAUCAGUGGCAGAAAAACAUUCCUAAACACCACACGUCUGCUCUUCAGCUUGGAUCCGAUAGAGCCGUGCCACUAUAUUCAAGAGCAGAUCUGUCUGUCAGAGCCGACACUAACCGUGUUAACCAGCCUCCGUUUGUGGCUCUUCCUCCUCCAGUCAGGUGAACAGCGCUUCAGAGGCCCAGAAAUACUUACAGAAAACAUACUGCAUGUCUGAAACUUGUGCAUUGCUUUGUAUCAGGUUACAAGCUGCUUGUCCUCAGCAAAUCCCGGUGAAUGUGAUGGAUUUGGAUGGAGAUGAGAUUCGCUGUCGUUAUAACAAGACUGACCUUGGUGAAUUUCUG
rnacentral:lncRNA from 1 species